rnacentral:lncRNA from 1 species
UGAUUGGAAGAUAUUUUAUUUCAAAUUUAAAAAAAAAACUUGUAUAAACUGUUCCAUGUCUGCCUGUCUGCCCUUCUUUGCUUUUGGUUGGCUAUGUAGGGGCCGUGCUGUUUCUUUACAUUUUAUUCAUAUUUGUGGGUUAUGUUCAUUGUUUGACUUAACUGUUUCUCAUAAUAAGCUAUGGUGAGAUUCUCCCUGGCAUCUCUUUCCCAUUUUUCUUUUUUCAUCUAAACUCACACUUCUCUUUGACCUGUAGCCUGAGAGUGAGGUAUCUGAGUCCCACCUGCUUUGGUUUUACUGAGAGUAUGGAGAGCGGGGUUCUGAAAGGUGAUGGUGGCCAUUGAGUUUGGGGCAACCUGGCUGUGAUCAUUGUUUUCUGCAAUGUCAUUUGUAGCCCAGUGUCAUAACUCAGUGCACUUAGGCAGGACUCUGUGCUAUCCUAUAUUUAGGGACAGAAAAUUAAAGAGUCCUAAACUCCCAGUUUCAGGGUGGACUCUCUGAAACUUCUAGGGGUUGAAUCAGAGCUUUAGCUGCCAACCUAUGCCGUGGCAACACUGGAACCUUAACCCACUGAGUGAGGCCAGGGAUCAAAUCUGCAUUCUCAUGGACACUGUGUCAGAUUCUUAACCUGCUGAGCCACAGUGGGACCUCCUGAAACUCAAUGACAGAGGCAAUGAGAUCCAAUAACUCAUUUCUCUCAAUGCCCUCCCCUUUUCUCCAGCACCUUUCCCUGUUUCCCUCUCAGAAGAGAAAAUGAAAUAAGGGAACCAUGUAAGUUUGGGCUGCUGGAUUGUUAGUCAGGGAUGGGGAGGGAGGUUAAGGGCAGGGGAAAGAGGACAGGAUGGGAAAUAGGUGAGGGAGAGGCUGUGUUGAAAUCUCCAUUUCUUUUUGUAAAAACAUACCCUGAUGAUCACUGUCUUCCUCUCUUUACUCUUCAACUUGUCUUUUUCACCAGAGGACCCACAAAAUGGCAAGUCCUAAAAGUAUUUCUAGUUCUGGAGAGCCCUUGUAAGAGCAUCAAAGAUCUUGGCAUUCUCGAAGGGUUGUAUACACGUUUCCAAGCUGGUCUACCCACCCCCUAAUUCUCCUUUCUUCCAACCAGGGCUUAAAUAGUGGAGUUUUCAGCAUUCCGUUCCACUCAUUCUCUUUCCUCAAGAUUUGUUUUCUAAGGAAGAAGUCAUAUCAAUUUGUGACAUUGACUGAAUUUUCCUGGUUCUGACUUUUCAAUGGUUCUAGGACAAAGCCUGUUCCUUCCUUGUUUGUAUGCUACGUAUGUAAUAAUUUUUGCAUCUUACUCUUAGGAGUUUUAUUUACUUGGGGAUGGAGGGAGGGCCUGUAGUCUAGCAUUAUUUCACCUUCUCCUGCGGAAGUUCUCACAGAGAGUCAGCAGAGGCACUGAUGGACACUUAGAACUCCAUGAGCCCAUCGGUGUCUCUCCAUCCUCUGCAGGACACAGCCACCUUCCUUAGCAUGGCAUAUCAAGCCCUGUAUGGUCUGGCUCCUUUACUUCUCUCCCAAGGACUCUUUUCAUCUCAAACUCUGCUCUCUGGCAACACUAAACUGUGUGAGUGACUGCACACCACACUAUCCAUGCCUCCUCUGUCUUCUUGUGUCAUCCUCUGCCGUUGAAAAAUGUCUUUGACACAUCUUUUAUUAUUUUCUUCUGUCCUCCCCAAACACACACAUCAGCUUUGCCAGGUAUUCCUCACAGCUUCAUCUUUGUGACCAACUAGCCCCCUGCCCACCCCUCUACUGCCAAAGUUAGGGUCUUUGUCCUCCUUGGACCUGGCUGACCUGUUUCUAUCAUUACAUAUUGCAUUGUUUCUCUUUAUCCUUUUGUAUUAUAGCCAUCUGUAUCUCUGUCUCCUCUGCUUAGAUGUGACCCCUUGAAGCAGGAUUAAUUUUUCUGUAUCAGAGCCCAAUGCCUAGGACAUAGUAGAUUAAAGAAUACACUAUUAAAAUGGAUGAAAAUGAAAACAGCUAAGAGGCUUACUCCUCUAUGGGAUUUAGUUCAAGGCAGUCCUUAGAAUUCUUCCACUAGCAACGGAACAAAAAUUAAAUAAUCUGUGUGGAACCUCUGGCCACUUGUUUCAUCACUUCAAUGAAGUGUCUUAAGUAGAGUCAUUUCUCACAGACAGCUGAUCUAAUCCAUUCUUCAAUAAACAAAGAAUAUGAGAAAUAAAAACUUUCAAGGGAAAAAACUUAUUCUAACUCCACACUUUAGUAAUAGUAUUUGCACUCUGUUUCCAUGCUUUUAUUGUCAUUUUUUCUCUUAGCAUUAAAAAUGGUCUUGAAUUACCUUUGAUCUUCUCUUCUUUCAGCAGAUAGCCAAUGAAUGGGAAAAAAACCAUAGUAAAUGAGGGUAAUAAAAAUUUUAAUAUGUAAAUAACAAUACAAUUUUCUCACAAAGAAAUGAAGGUAAAGAGGCUUAAUUUUUAAACACAUUUGAUUAUCCUACAUUCAAUAGAUAUAUUAUUGCCAAACCCUCCCUUUUUAAAGACAUGCCAUCUAAUAACAUUGAAUGUUAAUAUAUCUUUUGUUUGUUCAGAGUAAACAAAAUGCCAAUGGUAAUUGCCACUAGAAGUUUUAUGAAUGUGGUUGAUUUACUUACAGAAUUUAAUUUAAGAUUUGGAUCCUCUUGCACAUAUUCUGGCCUAAUGAGAUGGCCUUAAACAUAUUUCAAGGAAUUUCUUGGGAAGAAUCAAUUUCUAAGAAAUCAAAGUAAGGAAAGAGUCCAGAGGUAUUUUUGUUUCAUUUCCCUUGAAAGAUUUAGCUGCACACUUACCACGUGUAUUUGUUUAUUACAUUUAAUUUGAAUGUGAGCUAUUUGAGAAAAAUGCCAUUAAAAUAAUUUUCAAAAGACUAUACCUUUUAUACAGAAGAAAAUGUACAGAUAGAGCAGCUGACAAAUAUUUGUAAAAUGUUUGUGCUGCUGACUUAGGAUCUUUACUACAGGUGAAUGGACAAGAUAGAACUGGAUACAGAGAGGUAUUCAAUAGAAAAAAAAUAGAAAAGGAUAUCAAAACAGAAAUAUACUCACAGACAUGGAGAACAAAUUUGUGGUUGCCAGGUGGGGAGGGGAGGGAAUGGGAUGGAUGGGAAGUUUGGGGUUGGUAGAUGCAAACUAUUAUAUUUAGACUAGAGAAGCAAUGAGGUCCUACUGUACAGCACAGGGAACUGUGUCCAAUGUCUUGGAACAGAACAUGAUGGAGGAUAGUAUGAGAAAAAGUAUGUAUACAUAUGUAUGACUGGGUCACUAUGCUGUACAGCAGAAAUUGGCACAACAGUGUAAAUCAACUAUACUUUAAAAAAAAUGUACUGUAAUAGGCAGAAUAAUGCUCCCCAGAGGAAGAUAUUCACAUCCUAAUCAUCAGAAUCUGUCAAUAUGUUUUGUUACAUGUCAAAUUAAGGAAUUAAGUUUGUCGAUAGAAUUAAAGUUGUUAAUCAUCUGACUUUAAAACAAAAAGAUUGUCCUACUUGAUCCAUAUGAGCCCAGUGUACUCAUAAGGGUCCCUAAAGAUGGAAGACAUGGCAAAAGAGGUCAGAGUUACAGAGUUAUUUGACGAUGCUAAGCUUGAAGAUUGAGGAAGGGGCCACCAGUCAAGAAGGGUAGAGAGCCUCUGGGCUAUAGUAGGUGGGGAAACGGAUUCUCCCCAAGAGCCGCCAGAGAGGAACACAGUCCUGCUGAUGACUAGAUUUUAGCCUGAUGAGACGUCCAACGUACCAGACUGUAAAAUCAUCUGUGGUGUUUGUAGUAAUUUGUUACAUUGCAAUAGAAGACGAAUGCAGGUAUCCUCAUAUAACAUAACACUAUGCAGGCAUCAGAAAUAAGAAUACCUAAUGAUGUGGAAAGUAUUCAUGGUGUAUUGUUAGUACAGAACAGCAGAUGAGGAAACACCAUACGCAGUAAAAACAAAAAUAUUUACAUACCUGUUUAGAUAAACUCUGAAAGAUAUAUAAUGUUAUUCAUGUUUUUUAUGGAUUAUUUUUCCUUCUUUUCCUGUAUUUCUCAUUUCUUUUGCAAUCAGAAAAUAAAAUUAAAUGUUGAAAUUGAGUGACCUUAAAAUGGAGUUCCCAUCGUGGCUCAGUGGUUAACGAACCCAGGUAGCAUCCUUUAGGACAUGGGUUUGAUCCCUGACUUUGCUCAGUGGGUUAAGGAUCUGGUGUUGCCAUGAACUUGAUGUAGGUCACAGAUGUGGCUUGGAUCCCUCAUUGCUGUGGCUGUGCUGCAGGCUGGCAGCUACAGUUCUGAUUUCACUCCCUAGCCUAAGAACCUCCAUAUUCCAUGGGCAUGGCCCUAAAAAGACAAAAUAAAUAAAUAAAAAUUUAAAAAAAAGACAAACAAACAAACAAACAAAAAAUACCAAAAAACUAGAUAGGAGAGGAGUUCCCAUCAUGGCCCAGUGGUUAACGAAUCCGACUAGGAACCAUGAGGUUGCGGGUUCGGUCCCUGCCCUUGCUCAGUGGGUUAACGAUCCGGCGUUGCCCUGAGCUGUGGUGUAGGUUGCAGACGCGGCUCGGAUCCUGCGUUGCUGUGGCUCUGGCUAGGCCGGUGGCUACAGCUCCGAUUCGACCCCUAGCCUGGGAGCCUCCAUAUGCUGCGGAAGCGGCCCAAGAAAUAG